rnacentral:rRNA from 1 species
CAGUCGCCACGGUAAUACGUAGGUGGCGAGCGUUGUCCGGAAUUAUUGGGCGUAAAGGGAGCGCAGGCGGACAUAUAAGUCCAUCUUAAAAGUGCGGGGCUCAACCCCGUGAGGGGAUGGAAACUGUAUGCCUUGAGUGCAGGAGAGGAAAGCGGAAUUCCCAGUGUAGCGGUGAAAUGCGUAGAUAUUGGGAGGAACACCAGUGGCGAAGGCGGCUUUCUGGACUGUAACUGACGCUGAGGCUCGAAAGCCAGGGGAGCGAACGAGAUUAGAUACCCCCGUGUCCCUGUCUCUUAUACAC